rnacentral:rRNA from 1 species
UAACGGCGAGUGAAGCGGGAAGAGCUCAAAUUUAAAAUCUGGCAGUCUACGAUUGUCCGAAUUGUAAUCUCGAGAAGUGUUUUCCGCGUUGGCCUGUGCACAAGUCCCUUGGAACAGGGCGUCAUAGAGGGUGAGAAUCCCGUCCUUGGCACAGAUACCCAAUGCUUUGUGAUACACUCUCAAUGAGUCGAGUUGUUUGGGAAUGCAGCUCAAAAUGGGAGGUAAAUUCCUUCUAAAGCUAAAUACUGGCGAGAGACCGAUAGCGAACAAGUACCGUGAGGGAAAGAUGAAAAGCACUUUGGAAAGAGAGUCAAACAGUACGUGAAAUUGUUGAAAGGGAAACGAUUGAAGUCAGUCGUGCCUGCCUAGAUUCAGCCUUCUGGUGUAUUUCUAGGUCGGCAGGUCAGCAUCAGUUUGGGAGGGUUAACAAGGGGAUUAGGAAUGUGGCAACCUCGGUUGUGUUAUAGCCUAGUUUCGUAUUGAUCUUGCUGGACUGAGGAACGCAGUGCGCCCGCAAGGGUAGGUCUUCGGACACUUUCGCACUUAGGAUGCUGGCAUAAUGGCUUUAAACGACCCGUCUUGAACMACGG